GUCACUGUGUUCUCAAUAAGUGCUAUCUCUGCUGCCAAAUUUAAUGAGGAAUACUCCUCAUUUGGUGCUUGAGUAUUGCCUUUAAGGUCCAAGGACCAAUCAAGAGGGCUCCAGAUGUACUCUGUAGUUCUUCGAAAGUUUCCAAGGCCGCCUUCUCCUCUCCCCUUGCUCUUUGCUCAAAUUGCCUUAAUCUCCUGCUCAGUAUAAACUAGGAUGUGUACCAAGGAAAAUGAUUUGAGGGAAUCAGAGAACGUUCGGAGCUCCAAACAAUCGCUGCUGCACUCGACCAGUGUACAGAUGUAUUGCAUAAUUAGGAGGAGUGAAGAUAUCCUUUGGAAAGGCAGACACCUUCCACAGCAGAAACAGUGUGAUGUAGAGGUUCAUGUAUAGCACUUGGACUGAAGAGAGCUGGAUUCAUAUCCCACUCGGUCUUGAAACCUGUUGAGUGAUGUUGGGCCAGUCAUGCUCAUUCAUUCACUCACUCACUCACUCAUUUAUUUAUUUAUUAAAGUAUCUAUAAUCUGCACUUUCAUGAAAGUAUAUCAAGGCAGUGUAUGACAUACAAAGCUGUAAUAAAAUCAAUAA